GUCUCUACUAAAAAAAAUACAAAAAAUUAGCUGGGCGUGGUGGCGGGCGCCUGUAGUCCCAGCUACUCGGGAGGCUGAGGCAGGAAAGUGGCGUGAACCCAGGAGGCGGAGCUUGUAGUGAGCCGAGAUCGUGCCACUGUACUCCAGCCUGGGCGACAGAGCGAGACUCAGUCUCAAAAAAAAAAAAAAAAAAAAAAAGAAACUUGAAGGCAAUCUAUUUCAGAAUGCUGUCACACGCUGGGCUUAUGGAAUUGAAUGUCCAUCAUUUCCUGUCUGAGCUAACAUAGGAACUGUGCUUUCCAUUCUCCUCUGCCUCCAACCUUAAUGUGCCUUCUAUUCCCAAUGAGAAGCACAUCAUUUUACAAAUAUCCUUGGCCAUGAAUUCAGGCCAGAUACCAUGUUUUUAAAGUGCCCAGGUUGAGCCCUGCUCGGCCAGCCCUAAGGACACAAACAUUCAUACAGCAUGCCAAGGCAGAGGUCCUCUUCAAGCUGCCUCUGGUGACUUGAGUUAGGGCCCUGAUGCUUAAAGUCAGGACAUUCUGAUAAUAGAAACUGUCAUAGGUAUCACUGGUAGAGAAAACUAAAUGAGAUCUCUGAGAAAUUAAAAUUAUGAUCCUGUAAAGCAAUCAGCUGUAAAAGUGUUUGUUUGAUGUAUUCCUUGAUGAGUGGCCAAACUGGUGUGUGUGUGUGUGUGUGUGUGUGUGUGGUGUGAAGUCCCAUAUAUUCUGGGAAGAGGGCAACAGGCAGGGGUGGAGUCGUUUUUUGUUUUUUUGUUUGUUUUGUUUUGUUUUGUUUUGUUUGUGUGACAGGGUCUCACUCUGUUGCCCGGGCUAGAGUGCAGUGGUACAGUCUCGGCUCACUGCAACCUCCACCUCUCAGGCUCAAGUGAUCCUCCCACCUCAGCCUCCCGAGUAGCUUGGACUACAGGUGUGUGCCACCAUGCUUCGUUAAUUUUUAUAUUUAUUGUGGAGAUGGGGUCUUGCCAUGUUGCCCAGGCUGAUCUCGAACUCCUGGGUUCAAAUGAUCCAUCCACCUCAGCCACCCAAAGUGCUGAGAUUACAGGCGUGAGCCGCCGCACCCAGCGAAAAGUGUGCCUGUAAUCCCAGCUACUCAGGAGGCUGGGGCAGGAGAACUGCUUGAACCUGGGAGGCAGAGGUUGCAGUGAGCCGAGGUCACGCCACUGCACUCCAGCCUGGGCAACAGAGCGAGACUCCGUCUCAAAAAAAAAUAAUAAAAAAAAGAAAGCUGCCAGGAAAGGAAGUGGUAAUUCUCAUUCCUUAAGAAUAUCCGUACGGUCAUUUGAGCUCCUUGGCCAGAAAGUGCUUUGGAAAUACCAUGUGUCUCAAAAUUCCUCUCUUAGUGAAACAAAUGCCUUGUGAGAUGAUGUCCCAUUGCUAUAAAAAAUUGUCUGUAUUUCUUUUUUGUGUCCUGCCUUGUUUCAAACAGAAUUGUAUGUGGUUUACAGAGGUAUACCUGAUAGCACAGCAAGUAAAAUACAUACGAGGAAAAUCCUCGGUAUAAAAAUUGAGGCCGGGCAUGGUGGCUCAUGCCUGUAAUCCCAGCACUUUGGGAGGUUGAGGCCGGUGGAUCACUUGAGGUCAGGAGUAUGAGGCCAGCCUGGCCAAUGUGGUGAAACCCCGUUUCUACUAAAAAUACAAAAAUUAGCCAGGUGUUGUGGUGCAAAGCUAUAAUCCCAGCUAUCUGGAAGGCUGAGGCAGGAGAAUCACUUGAACCCAGGAGGCAAAGGUGGCAGUGAGCCGAGAUUGUGCCACUGCACUCCAGUCUGGGUGACAGAGCGAGACUCCAUCUCAAAAAAAAAAAAAAAAACAAAAAGCAAAACAAAACAAAAAAUUGAGACGGUGAUUGAGACGGUGAUGUGGUUCACACCUGUAAUCCCAGUACAUUGGGAGGCCGAGGUUGGCAGAUUGCUUCAGCUCAGGAGAUGGAGACCAGCCUGGGCAACAUGGCAAAACCCUGUCUCUACAAAAAAAAACAAAAAAUUAGCCAGGCAUGGUGGUGCACGCCUAUAGUCUCAGCUACUUGAGAGGCUGAGGUAGGAGUAUUGCUUGAGCCUGGGAGGUAGAAGUUGCAGUGAGCCCAGAUCACGCCACUGAACUCCAGCCUGGGUGACAGAGGGAGACCCUGUCUCAAAACAAAAAAAAGAAAACAAAAGCAAAACAAAUCAGGACAAAGGGGAAAUGAAAGUAGUGAAAUUGGGUAUAACCAGGAGUAAGCUGUAACAUAAAAGCAUUCUGUAAGAUCCUGUUAACAGAAAUAAGCCCAAAUUUGGCUCUGAGCUUGCUAGCAGUCAAAGAGAGAAGGGAAACAUGAUCAGUUAUAAGACUGGGUCCAUAUAAUAAAAACUAAUUGCUCAAAAGAAUCAGCUAAUGGUAUACCCUGCUUGUGUGCACCUGGCUAGUGUGUAUUCCUUAACCUUUCAUUUAUUUGCAUAUUUCCAGAUCCUGACAUGGGGUUUGUAUUACGGUAGGCCAGUAAUUCUCCAACUUUUCAUCUUGGAAGUCUUUUACACUUUUUAAAAACUUUUUUUUUUUUUUGAGACAGGGUCUCACUCUAUCACCCAGGCUGGAGUACAGUAGCAUGAACACGGCUCACUGCAACCUCAACCUCCCAGGCUUAAGCAAUCCUCCC
rnacentral:lncRNA from 10 species